rfam:Schistosoma curassoni strain Dakar, Senegal genome assembly, scaffold: SCTD_contig0004881
ACUAGCUGAUGAGUCCCAAAUAGGACGAAACGCACGUCUUGGAU